UUGACCUCGGAUCAGGUAGGGAUACCCGCUGAACUUAAGCAUAUCAAUAAGCGGAGGAAAAGAAACCAACAGGGAUUGCCUCAGUAACGGCGAGUGAAGCGGCAACAGCUCAAAUUUGAAAUCUGGCCUUCUGGUCCGAAUUGUAAUUUGUAGAGGAUGCUUCGAACAUGGUCCGGUCUAAGUUCCUUGGAACAGGACGUCAUAGAGGGUGAGAAUCCCGUAUGUGACUGGGUGCCUAAGUUCAUGUGAAGCUCCUUCAACGAGUCGAGUUGUUUGGGAAUGCAGCUCAAAAUGGGUGGUAAAUUUCAUCUAAAGCUAAAAUAUUGGCCAGAGACCGAUAGCGCACAAGUAGAGUGAUCGAAAGAUGAAAAGCACUUUGGAAAGAGAGUUAAAUAGUACGUGAAAUUGUUGAAAGGGAAGCGCUUGCAAUCAGACUUGCAUGCAGUUGAUCAUCCGAUGUUCUCACCGGUGCACUCAUCUGUAUUCAGGCCAGCAUCGGUUUUGGUGGUUGGAUAAAGGCCUUGGGAAUGUAGCUUCUUUCGGGGAGUGUUAUAGCCCAGGGUGCAAUGUAGCCUACCAGGACCGAGGACCGCGCUCGGCUAGGAUGCUGCG
rnacentral:rRNA from 1 species